rnacentral:rRNA from 2 species
GGGGCGGAGGGGCGUCUAUACUGCAGUCGAGCGAACUGAUUAGAAGCUUGCUUCUAUGACGUUAGCGGCGGACGGGUGAGUAACACGUGGGCAACCUGCCUGUAAGACUGGGAUAACUUCGGGAAACCGAAGCUAAUACCGGAUAGGAUCUUCUCCUUCAUGGGAGAUGAUUGAAAGAUGGUUUCGGCUAUCACUUACAGAUGGGCCCGCGGUGCAUUAGCUAGUUGGUGAGGUAACGGCUCACCAAGGCAACGAUGCAUAGCCGACCUGAGAGGGUGAUCGGCCACACUGGGACUGAGACACGGCCCAGACUCCUACGGGAGGCAGCAGUAGGGAAUCUUCCGCAAUGGACGAAAGUCUGACGGAGCAACGCCGCGUGAGUGAUGAAGGCUUUCGGGUCGUAAAACUCUGUUGUUAGGGAAGAACAAGUACAAGAGUAACUGCUUGUACCUUGACGGUACCUAACCAGAAAGCCACGGCUAACUACGUGCCAGCAGCCGCGGUAAUACGUAGGUGGCAAGCGUUAUCCGGAAUUAUUGGGCGUAAAGCGCGCGCAGGCGGUUUCUUAAGUCUGAUGUGAAAGCCCACGGCUCAACCGUGGAGGGUCAUUGGAAACUGGGGAACUUGAGUGCAGAAGAGAAAAGCGGAAUUCCACGUGUAGCGGUGAAAUGCGUAGAGAUGUGGAGGAACACCAGUGGCGAAGGCGGCUUUUUGGUCUGUAACUGACGCUGAGGCGCGAAAGCGUGNGGAGCAAACAGGAUUAGAUACCCUGGUAGUCCACGCCGUANACGAUGAGUGCUAAGUGUUAGAGGGUUUCCGCCCUUUAGUGCUGCAGCUAACGCAUUAAGCACUCG